AUUGAACGCUGGCGGCAUGCUUUACACAUGCAAGUCGAACGGCAGCGCGGGCUUCGGCCUGGCGGCGAGUGGCGAACGGGUGAGUAAUACAUCGGAACGUGCCCAGUAGUGGGGGAUAGCUCGGCGAAAGCCGGAUUAAUACCGCAUACGACCUGAGGGUGAAAGCGGGGGAUCUUCGGACCUCGCGCUAUUGGAGCGCCCGAUGGCAGAUUAGCUAGUUGGUGGGGUAAAGGCCUACCAAGGCGACGAUCUGUAGCUGGUCUGAGAGGACGACCAGCCACACUGGGACUGAGACACGGCCCAGACUCCUACGGGAGGCAGCAGUGGGGAAUUUUGGACAAUGGGCGAAAGCCUGAUCCAGCAAUGCCGCGUGUGUGAUGAAGGCCUUCGGGUUGUAAAGCACUUUUGGCGGGAACGAAAAGGACUGUGCCAAUACCACGGUUCGAUGACGGUACCCGCAGAAUAAGCACCGGCUAACUACGUG
rnacentral:rRNA from 1 species